CAUAAUCAUGAGUUGCCUUUAUUUUUGUUAGAUAGCUCACCCAAUAAGUUUUUUAAAGUAUUACCUGCAGUAAAAAUAAAUGAUACCAAUAUAAUAUAUAGAGCCAGUGGAGUAAUAAGAGAGAGUCAUUUUUGCUUUUGAUUAUAAAAAACUCCUCUACUACCAGCUAAAAAUAAAAUCCAUCGGUACCCAUCAGCUUUAAUACAUCAUAUGAGAACAAAAAAAAGAGGCC
rnacentral:lncRNA from 1 species